AGAUUAUUCCUACAUAUUCUAUUCGAUGAUAUGGACAUAUCUACACCUCCGACCCAUCUAUCAGAUAAGUAGAUUGACUUUUGACCCUUAGAUCCCCUUUCCUCGACUCAAAUCUAAUUAUGUGAAGCUUCUAAAUAUAAAAAUUUAAAAUAAAUAAAAAAAAUUAUUAAUACUACUUGGCUUACCUACUAUGAUGACUGAGGCUGAGAGCUAGCUGCUGCUCCAUAUGAUUGUGGGGUCAAU
rnacentral:lncRNA from 1 species